ensembl:antisense Gm17227 predicted gene 17227
CCUUGAGAUAUGUUAACUUGGAGAACACCUCCAUUCCCUAUCAUUCUGUUGUAACAAGUCUUCAAAGAGCUGCUUGCUUUCUUCAGCCACAGUAGAUGCCUCCUUGACUAGUCCCAGGAAGACAAUAUGACUAUUUCAGCUUCCAAGAGAAGUGAAUGAUGCAGGGAAGAGCCAAUUCAGCCAGGUGGCAGCAAUCUGGCUCUGGGCUUCCUGGCCUCUGACAGGGACGUGCAGGACGACCCUUGGGGAGAAAUGGGUCACUUCUGCGUCUUGUUAGAUGGACCGUUACACAGACUGAGAGGACGCUGAUUGCUGAAGGAGGCAGCCAGCCAAGUCUGUAGCUACCCACCUCUUAAUUUAUUGAAGACAGGGAAGAAAAGAACCCCAAGAGAGGAAUGUGAAUGCCAUAUUCUAAAAGGAAGUUCUAAUUGGCAAUGAGCAUGGAAAACUUACCUGGAAUUACAAUCAAGCUGGGCACAAGAGUACUACUGUCCCGUCCUAUUCCUCUACCUAGUCCAUGCUACUCAUCAAAGACAAAGAGUCUGGCAGGAAUAAAGAAGCUGCUAAACACAAGUCUUAAAAAAC